rnacentral:lncRNA from 1 species
GUAUUAAUAGAUCGAUCUCAAACGUCAUCUUAAGUGCGUCUCAGCUGAGAUUGACUUGAGACGUGAGCAACGUCUUAAGUCUGUCACUAAUUAAUAAACAUGACUUAAGCUCAACUCAGCUGAGAUUGAUCUCAAGUAGCAGUUGGAGACAAACUCAUGUUUCUUUUUUAUUUCUUGGCUUAGUUACCAAACUUUCAAGUCCAUUUCAAUGAGUUGCGCGUGAAUAGAUGGCUUUUUUGUUAUUAUUUUUAACCAACAAAACGCAGAUGUAAGUUACCUACUGACACUAAACGCAACUGUCAGUAUUUGACAGGCCAGACCGAUUUGUUUGAAUAUUUGAAUUUUGCAAAAUGGAUAAAGAAAUUUACUUUUUCCUGUGCCGAAAAACAAUUACUUAUUAAAAAACAGCCAUAUUAUAGAAAAUAAGCCGACGGACGGGGCCACACUUCGCAUAACAAAAUGAGUCGUAGAACUCAGUAACCCGGGAAUUCAAUGCGAGCCCGCUUACUACGCAAAACGUGAAGAAUCAGCACCUCCGCAAGCUGUGGCAAAACCUCAAGCAGCGUCAAAGGGAUGACCAAAGAAAGAGUAUACAACACCGCUUGAUUCUACGGAUUCCGACCCAGACAAGACCCAGACCCAGACGACUAUAAUCCGACCACCGAUCCAGCCUUGAUUUAAAAAAUGUGUUGCUGUUGCAGUUUCUUGUCAUUUCUUCUCCUCAACCGUAACAACACCUUGCGAAAUGACGUAGAUUUAAAAAAUUCGUAAUUGUAAAUAAGAAUUAAAGUAUACAUUUCU